rnacentral:lncRNA from 1 species
CAGUUCCACUCCCCGACACACCCUGCCUCGUCAUUGUCGGUGGGUUCUACGCCCCCCACCCCUACCAGCUCAAUGGGAUGGGAGGCUUGGAGCGACGGAACAGGAAAGCUCAGACGAUCGCUGAGGUUUUGUGUUAGAUAUUUUCUUUUUUUUUUUUCAUUUCUUUUUCGUUUUCAGAGAUCUAUGAAAGGAAAGCGUCUAAGAG